AAAACAGUCUUUGGAAAUCAGUCAUCUAACUAUUUGUAAUGAAACAAUGUCAUCUUCUUUUCACAGAUGGGAGAGCUGAAGGAAGAGGGAUGUGAAGUUACUAGCUGAAAGCUAUAUAGCAGGCCAGUAACAAAUCCAGGAAUAGUAGUCAAGUCUCCUAAGUUGCAGUCUGAUGCUCUAAUUAAGAAGAAAUUUUGCCCUCUGAUGUUACAAUGAGAUGACUGAAACAGGCCUGGGAUGUACUACUGGUUUUGUGUCUGACGUAACGUGGAUGAGGGAGAUUUCAGAUGUUUCAAUAUACCUUUUAACAAAAAUUGUCAAAAAUUGUCCCGGCGUCGGAAAAGACAUAUAUUCUUCACGAGAAAUCUUUAUGGCACAUCCCACAGCGUCUGAGGAAGAGCGGGAAUGGGCGUGUGCUGCCCUGGGAAUGCGGACGGUCCUGGCGUCCCUCCGACAGAAGGACAUGCCGUAG
rnacentral:lncRNA from 1 species